GAUACAAGUGAGACCGUAUGAAAAUGUGACCGAAGACGCAAGGGAGACAGGAACUUUUUAUGACCUAGAUGGAACCAGCGUUGAGCCCGGAGAUUAUGUCACAUCAUUUUCCCCAGGGAUGGAAGGAGGCUCUUCCUCCAGAACAAAUCAUGCUCCCUUAAAAAUGUCAGUGAUGCUGCCCUCUAUGCAAGAGGAAGACCAGAGUGGAAGCAUCAGCAUGCUUGAAGGGGACACUGAUACUUCAGGGGCCGACGUAUUCUGAUUCAUCCACCCAUCUCCUUAAAGCUCUGACAUGUUGCACUGUGUUUAAUACCAAUAAUGAAAUUAUAUUGAGAGUGAUAUUUUGUUAAUGUUGGAAUAACAGCAUGAUUAAUAUGUUACUGGGAUGGGUUUUUUUCUAGUUUGGAACAUAGAUGUAUAUUUUGUCUUGUAUGAGGAAUAAAAAGUGCUUUGAA